rnacentral:rRNA from 1 species
UUUUUCCCUCACACACGUAAGACUACCCGCUGAACUUAAGCAUAUCAAUAAGCGGGAGGAA